ensembl:lncRNA
GCAACCCGGAUACCGACCGUUAGUUUUGGCGAAAGACAAACUAUCCACUGCCAGUACACCUCUGGCUGUUCAAUGGCAUCACGAAUUGAGCGUCUCGCCCGGCCUAAUCCCAACCUACUUAAAUUCCCUGACAGCCCCCGAAGAUGUGUUGGUUUCUGCGCCAUCAUAAGUCACUGACAAAAGUUGCUUUUUUGCAUUUUGUUCAACGUACCCUAUCUCUUCAUACAUUCAGAGGGUGGGACCCUCAUUAAUUGGUGUCACUACAGGCGCUCCGUAUACUGGUUGGAUGAGCUUCCAGCAAAAUCAAAGCGGUCCACUACUGUCUUUGGUAAAAGCAUUUCUUUCAAGAAAUUAAGACUUUGGGUGCGUCUCAAUCAGCUCCCUAGUUUAGUAGUCAAGGCACUGAUCAGGAAGUGUGCCAUUUCCUUAAAAAAAUCCCACAAUGCCCCGCAAAAAAAGACGGACGACAAACUCUCAGCCAACUUCCAUCUACAAAUAGCUCACAUCACGUUGGUCCCAGCCGUCAGAGAGGAAAAAGAUUAGUACUCACUAUGAAGACAACAGAGAGUCUCCUGAGUGGAAGGUGGGCGCAGCCACAUUAAAGGCUCGUCCCUCUGAAAGAGUGUGUUCACUCGCUCGACCCCGUCAGCCUGCAGUCGGCUGGCAGCCUGAUCGCCCCCUAUUGACCACAUAUGGUAUGGGAGUGAGAACUAUAGCUAAAGCCAGUCCUCGGAUCUGCCAGUUGGCUCAACCAAAAAAGUCAAGAAUGCCAUUGACUCCAGCAUUCAACAGCACUAAUAGCUGUUUGACACUUCUCCCACAAGCCAAGCCUUCUUCUCAUAUACACCUCCUGGCCAUUCCUAAAAAGGAGCAUCCUCAUUAUCGUCCAAACCAACCUGUGUCAUCGCACGUGCCAAGGUCCGUCCUGGAAGCUGUAGCCAGUGAGAGGCUGCAGGUGCUGGCCAUACCAAAGCCCCGCAAUCCUCUUUAUGAGGGAUUCGAUCCCUAUAAAGUGAGCUUGGCUGCUCGUGUUGCUACUGCAUCCCCAAGAAUACAGGAACUGUCACAACCCCCGGCACGCAGGUGCAGGAAAACAUCAGCC